rnacentral:rRNA from 1 species
UUGAACGCUGGCGGCAUGCUUUACACAUGCAAGUCGGGCGGCAGCGCGGGGGCAACCCUGGCGGCGAGCGGCGAACGGGUGAGUAAUAUAUCGGAACGUACCCGGAAAUGGGGGAUAACGUAGCGAAAGUUACGCUAAUACCGCAUAUGCCCUGAGGGGGAAAGUGGGGGAUCGCAAGACCUCACGUUUUCGGAGCGGCCGAUAUCAGAUUAGCUAGUUGGCGGGGUAAAGGCCCACCAAGGCGACGAUCUGUAGCUGGUCUGAGAGGACGACCAGCCACACUGGGACUGAGACACGGCCCAGACUCCUACGGGAGGCAGCAGUGGGGAAUUUUGGACAAUGGGCGCAAGCCUGAUCCAGCCAUGCCGCGUGAGUGAAGAAGGCCUUCGGGUUGUAAAGCUCUUUCGGACGGAAAGAAAUCGUGCGGGCCAACACCCCGCAUGGAUGACGGUACCGUAAGAAGAAGCACCGGCUAACUACGU